UUGUCUGGAGGUGAUUUUUAUAGUCACGUGGGAUUUGUUUUCUUGAUCUAGAUGGUGCUGAAAUGGGAGGAGUUAGCUAAUCAGAAACAAUGUGGUUUUUCUGGGUUUAUUAAUCAAGAUAACUGAAAGUAAUCGGUAUCGUAUGUAUUUUUUUAACCUUUAUAUAUAAGGCAUCUCGCACAGAUUCGGUCAUAAUCAAUCAGUUCUCAAUACGAGUAAGGUUUUCUUUAAAGGAGCGGAAAAAUGAACCACAAAAGCCUCUUUCUCAUUGCAGUCCUGGCCUUUUUGUCCCUGAGUUGCAUCAUUUCAGAACAUGGUACAGCACUGGCUUUUCAUCAUCAUAAAGGCGACGACAACCGUAUUCUCGAAAUGCUGGCUGCUGGUUUAAUUGUUAAGCUGAUGCAAGAACAUCAUCAUGGUCGAUAAAACUUGGAAAAACUAUUUAGUAUUAGACUGAAAGAUGCCAACACUUUGUACAAUUUUGUAGAAAUAUGUAAAUACUGAGUACAUGUUUUUGAAAUAAAUCCUUUCUUUUU